rnacentral:lncRNA from 1 species
AGAAGAAGAGAUAUUCUUUCAACAGAAGAAGAAAUGCUGAACAAGCAAAACAAUAGGUGUCUUAUACUGCGAUUUUUCAAAUGCUGUCCCAUGAAAGAGGACUGCCUAGUUCAUGUGGCCAUGAGUUCAGGAGCUGAAUGGUUCUGACUCUGGAUUUCUUGUGAGGUUCAGCAGGAUAAUUGGCCAGGGCUUUAGUUUUCUUAAGGUCUGACUUAAGAAGAAUGUAACUGAAGAAUCUGCUUCUAAGGUGGGUCACUGAUAGGAUAAGCAAGUCUGUGGUCUUUGUUGGUAUAAGAUUUCAGUUCCUCACCAUGUGAGCCUCCUCAUAAGAUAGUUUGAGUGUCUUCUUGAGAUGACAUCUGGCUUUCACUAAGCAAGUGAUACAAGAGCCCAAGGAAAAUGCUGAAAUGUCUUUUAUGAAUGGCUUUGGAUAUCAUCCAUAUCAUUUCUACAAUAUCCAGCAGGUCACACCUGGCAUCUCUUUCUUUUGUAGGAACUGCCCAACAGCAUAACUACUAGGAGAUGAUGGCCAAUGAGAAGGGGCAAGAAUAAUCAAAUAAAUAAUAAAAAAAAAAUUCCCUAGAUGUGAAGCUCAUGAGAUGCUAGAUUAAAGAGCUUUUCAAGUUUGGUGCACAAUAGAUUAAAAUAGACCCUCUUCAGUGCAUAUCAUCCAAGUUCAGAACACCAAACAUCAAAGACAAAUCUCACAAGAUUCUGAAAAGAAAGAAGUAAUAUGUCACAUAUAAACAUUUAGAAUCAGAAUGACAUCAUAAUCCUCAAAGUCAAGUUUAUAAGACAAUAUAGUGAAGUGGUGUAAAACUUCUGUUAAAAUAUUUUAAAUGUAGAAAUUUAUACUUAAGACAAACCAUCAAUCAAACUUUAGUGUGGAAUAGAGACAUUUUUGGAUAUUUGAGUUUUAAAAAUCAUCUCCCACACACCCUUUCUCAGAAACUUUGGGAAAACAGAAGAUCCAGGAAACAAGGGAUUCAAUACAAGGAAGAGGAGAAGGAAAUCCCCAAAAUGAUGGAGAAAGGAAUUCCAAGAACAACAGCUAUGUGCCAAGUGCAGAGGGCAAAGAGAACUGACUUGAACAGAUUAGAAAACUCGGAAUAUUGUUCCAUGUGAAUAUUAAAUCUAUAGAACACAAAAUAUGUUAGAACACAAUAAGAGAUUUACACAACUGAGAGAGUUUGAACUUGAGUUUGACAAAAGGUAAUAUAAUGAGAAAAUAAAACAAGUGUUAACUCCAGAGAAAACAAAACACAGUGUAGGAAAAGGUAAAGUAAUAAAAAUUUACCUUAUGUCUCAGCUGGAACUGGCAUUUACAAAGUCACAAAAAAUGUAAAUACAGAAUCAUGAUCUAACUAAAUUUUGAUAUAACUACAUUGGGAGUACAGAAGAAUGAAAAGCAUUCAUUUACAUGAUGGGACAGGCCAGGGAUUAAAAAAAGAGCUAAAUCCUCAUUUUCCAUAGUGGGAAAUCAAUAGAUAAUAUCUAGAACUGAAAAGUCAAUAAACAGCAGUAUAAGAAUGUUACUUAGAGAUGUGGAAGUAAAUACCAAACGAAUCAACUAAAGUUGUUGAAAUUAGUUGCCUCUGGGGAAUAGUUUUUCAUGGAGGAUGUGGAGCUAGAGGUGCUAAUUUUCAUAAUAAGUUCUGAAUAACAAGUGUAAUCUUCCAACUAUGUUCGUGUGACUUUAAUCAAAAUAAAACUAAAUAGAAAGGAUUUGGAGAAGAUGGCAGAGUAGGAAGCACAAGGAAUAUGUCUCCCCACCUGCAUGGGUAGAAUCUGUCUAAUGUAACUAUUUUGGAACUCUGGGUCUAUUGAAGGCUUGCAACUUCCAGGAAAAAUUUCACCAGUAAAUUGCUGUUAAUUUCAGUCAAGUUCAACUCUUAGGAUUGUUGCAGUGACCCAUCCCCUACCCCAGACCCAUGGCUAGCAGCAGAGCACAUGUUUCAGGAGAAGCCCUUGUAUAGCUUGUGGGAACAAGGGUGGAACUAAAAAACAAAAACAAAGACCAUCUUCCAAAUAUCAGGGUUCUGUGCCCCAUAGUUGAUUGGUGCUUCAGAUCACAAAGGUGCAGACAAAAAGUUGACAACCAUUGUUGCAUCUCUACCCAUUUUUGCAAGCUCCUAUCCUUUCAACUUAAGUGACUUCCAGGGGAUUUAAAGGACUAACAUUCUCUCUUUCCUCCCUUGCAUUUUUUUUCUUUUCCCCCUUUUGGGAGCCAGAAACAUGGAAGAACAUGAUAUUAAAAAGCAACUUUGUAAACAGGGAAAUUUAAAAGGUGACUGCACAUGCCAAGGGAAAGGUGAAAGCUCAGAAAAGACCUGAAAGGACCUUAAGUUUAUACCUCAGGCAUAUCUAUGGCACAGAGACAGUCUGCAAUCUUUGUUUAAAUAAACAAAAAUAAUAUUAAAAAAUAGCAAACUCUGGGGAAGGGCGAGAGUCUGAUUUCCAGAGUUAUCAGAUUAUUAGAUUCAAAUAUCUGAUUUUCAAACAAAAAAAAUCACAAGGCAUGCAGAGAAACAGAAAUGUAUGACUUAAUCAAAGGGAAAAAGUUAAAUCAUCAGAAACCAUCCCUGAAAAAGACCUGAAGGCAGACCUACUAGACAAAGACUUUAAAACAACCAACUUAAAGAUAUUUAAAGAACAAAAACAUUUGAAGAAGGCCAAGAACACAAUGCAUGAAAUUAUUGUAUGGAAAUAUCAAUAAAGAGAUAAAAACCUAAAAAGGUUUUUUUGUUUCUUUUGACUUAGAUGCUGGUUUGGGAAUGAAGUUCAGGGCUAGUCUUAGGAUUCAAAAGGCUUGAGAUACAUUGUUUUGGGGGUAUGAGGUUAGGUUCAUCUCUAGGUAUUAGGGCAUUAAGCUAAGAUAAAUCUUGGAAAGCUGGUCCUGAGACACCUGUGUCUGGUCCCCCAACCUGGGAUCUCCUGCUAGAAGUUACAGGAAUUGGUUGUGGUGCAUGGAGUUGCAAACACCACCAUAGAUUCAUUCCCCAUUGCACAGUGCUGACAGCAUAACUCCUGGAAGUCAGCUCAGCAUGCAGGGCCUGUCCAAUAAACCAGUGGUCAUUAGAAAGCCCUUAGCUACUUUCUCUAAUGUAAGCUGUCAUACUGAACAAUGAUUGCAAUUCAAAACAAAACACAAAAUUCAUUUGUAUGAAUGAGGUUCACUGGGCUGCCGAGGUCAUGUCUAAUCUUGACCUCACAUUUUUGUGUGAUUUACAAUGAUUUUGUGUUGUUCUCAUUCAUUGACUUAAUCAUGACUACGUAGAAUAUGUUUGAACUUGAAAAAUAAAUUCCUAUAACAUUUUCAUGUGCUUUUAGAUGUUUUGUGUGUUUUACCUAUUGGGCUUUAUUUUUUUUUUUAACAAACUUUCUUUAAAAAUUAUAUAAUUCUUUAGCUAAAAAAAGACCCUAGAAAAUAAUAUCCCCCACUUCUUCCCUGAGCUGGCCUGGAUUCCCUUGACCCAGUAAGACCUCAGCAGAUUUAUGCUGGACUAGAAUUCAGGAGGCCUGGGUGCCAGUCCUGGCUCAGCUAUUCCCUAGCUGGAUGACCUUGAGUAAAUCCUUUAGCCUUUCUUAGUGCUUUUUGUCAGCUGUCACAUAGAACCUAGUACCUUUCCUAUCUACCCCAUGGGAUUAUUUUCAGGAGUAAAUGAAGUAACAGGCAUAUAAAUUUGUACUCUAUAAAGGCUAUGAAAGUGAAAUGCUUUUAUUUUGAUAAUGAAGAGAAUCCUCUCUGAGGUUAAUUAUUUCUGUUCUCUAGUUUCGCUAGAAGGGAGGCAAGCCUGGAUUACCCAAUAAAUCUUGAGUGCCUUUCUGAACUGGCCACCAUGCCAGAGGCUGGUGAUACAGAGUUGCAUGUGAUGCAGUUCUUGCUCUCAAAGAAUCCACAGUUUGGUAGAGGAUGCAACUAAUAAUUGCAAUAAAAUGUGAGAAAUGCAGUAGAAUGGUUAUGGACAAAAAGUGGUGGACAACUAACUCCGAUUGGAAAGUAUUGUUAAUGUUAGUUUUGAUGUUUGAGUUUUAACAUUACUUCCUCUAGUAUUAAAAUUGCUAACACCGUAGCUUUGGUAAUGCACAUUAAGAAAAAUUAUUUUGAAGUAUAGCUGAUUUACAAUGUGUUAAUUUCUUUUGCAUGGCAAAGUGAUUCAAUUAACACAUAUGCACAUAUCCAUUCCCAUAUAAGUUAUCACAAAAUAUUGCAUAGACUUCCCUGUACUAUACGGCAGGUCCCCGUUGACCAACACUUCCAUUUAUAAUCGUGUGCAUAUGCCAGUCCCAAACCCCCAAUCCAUCCUUCCCCUCACCCUUCCCUUUUGGUAACCAUAAGUUUGUCUUUGAAGUCUGGGAGUCUGUUUCUAUUUUGUAAAUAAGUCCAUUUGUAUCAUUUUUUUCAGACUCCACAUAUUAGUGAUCUCAUAUUACCUUUGUCUUUCCCUGUCUGACAUCACUUAGCAUGAUAAUCUCUAGGUCCAUCCAUGUCACUGCAAAUGGCAUUAUUUUAUUCUUUUUUAUGGCUAAGUAGUGUUCCAUUGUAUAUAUGUACCACAACUUCUUUAUUCAUUUCUCGGCUGAUGGACAUUUAGGUUGUUUCCAUGUCUUGGCUAUUAUAAAUAGUGCUUCAGUGAACAUAAGGGUGUAUGUCUCUUUUUCAGUAAGGUUUCAGAUUUAUAGCUUACACUAGGGGAAGUACUACAAUUGGUGCUAGAUCGUUACUAAUGUUCCUUUUCUCUAUUGUCACAAUGACCUUGUUUCCUCUCUUGUUAUAGGUGAGGGAAUAGAAUCACCUGGCUAGCUAGUGGCAGAGUCACAUUCAGACUUCCAGCUAUGAUCUUGCACAUUCAUUGACAGCUUGGGUCUCACAGCAACGCUGGGAAAUGGGCAAUAAAUGAACAUUACCCCAAUUUAGGAUGGGAAAUCAGGAUGUGCAAAGCUUUGCCAGGCUAGACUCCACAGCUGGGCUUCCUGUCUCCAGCUCCAUUGGGGGCUGUUACCUUGAGGUCAAGGUCAAAGCCCUCAUAGGCAGUGGGGGAGAUAUUUUGGGGUAGAGCUGUCUCCCUGGCACCUCUCAAAUCUCAUCUCGGGAAGCAGCUGCCCACUGGGCCUGGGUGUCAGACCUGUCCUGGCUAGGCCUGGGGCCCUGCUGUUCUGGAAAUCUCUGGAAGGAGAUGCCCCUCCUUGUCUCAGUGUCUUCACCACGAGGUCGGCUGGGCACUGUCUACCAGGGUCUUCUCCACGUUAGCAUUCUUCUUGUUCUUAUUCAAGGAAGGGACAGGGACACCAGAGGAGAAGGUGCCCCUUGGCUUGAGGCAGUAUUUGGGGUGAUAAAGAAAAGCUUCUUCUUUGAUGGACUGCUUGGGCUUGUCCAGUGAAAAUGGUCCUUCUGUGGGACCACAGAGCAGAGUGGUGACUUCAGGGCUUGAAGAGUGGUCAGCUGGGAUGAAGUCCAAAUACACAUCACCUCAAGACCUCCUGCGAUGUGCUUCUCGGACCCACUGAGGAUUUCCUUUCUCUGUCCUGCUGCCUCUCCUGGUCUGCCUCUGUCCCUCCAUCUCUGCUGUGUGUCCAUCAUGGCUUUCUCGCCCCCGGUCACCCCCAGCGCCCAGCAUCUCUGACACACUGUCUCUCUUUCCUCCUUUCCUUCGCCCUCCCCUUUCCCUGGCCUCUUCUCUCAGCACUCACUGUGUCUCCCACCUUGCCUGCCUCAUGCAGACCUACCCACGUUCAGGAUUCCUUGUUCUUCCUGGAGAGAUUCUUUAAUCACAUCUGUUAAAAAGUAGGCAAGUUGCACUCUUCAGACG